AACGAACGCUGGCGGCAGGCCUAACACAUGCAAGUCGAGCGAGGACUUCGGUUCUAGCGGCGGACGGGUGAGUAACGCGUGGGAAUGUGCCCAUCUCUACGGAAUAGCCCUGGGAAACAGGGAGUAAUACCGUAUACGCCCUCUUGGGGAAAGAUUUAUCGGAGAAGGAUCAGCCCGCGUUGGAUUAGGUAGUUGGUGGGGUAAUGGCCUACCAAGACGACGAUCCAUAGCUGGUUUGAGAGGAUGAUCAGCCACACUGGGACUGAGACACGGCCCAGACUCCCACGGGAGGCGGCAGUAGGGAAUCCUAGACAAUGGGGGCAACCCUGAUCGAGCCAUGGCGCGUAAGUGAUGAUGGCCUUAGGGUUGUAAAGCUCUUUCAGCUGGGAAGUGAAUGACGGUACCCGCAGAAGAAGCCCCGGCUAACUCCGUG
rnacentral:rRNA from 1 species